ACUGCAGUAGUGAAAAUGAAGCGCACGAUGGGCGGAAGCUGUGAGUCCGGCAAAGUUUUAAAAUGAUGACGUAUUUUAUUAACUCUAACGGCACUGGCGGGUGACUGAAAAUACUAGUGCUGUGUAUGCGGGAUAGACAUUAUUUUCCUGCCCUACAUGAGGGGCUCGUGCGCGGAACGACAUGGGCAGCCCCGGCGGAAACUGCAGGCACAAGCCGGGACGCCGCGGGUUUAAAACAUGCGCGUGAGAGGAAGACAAACAUAAAGAUGAAGUGCUUAAUUCAAGGUCACACAAUGUCGGGGAUGGACCUCCAGAUUUCCUUACUGGUGAGACGUGGUCUUGUAACACAGUGGUUAAGAAUGUGACUUUGGAGCCAGCCUGCUAGGGGCUGAAUUCUGACUCAGCCAUUUACUAACUGUGUGACCUUAGGUGGAGUCUCACUCUGUAGCCCAAGCUGGAGUGGCGUGAUCUCGACUCACUGCAACCUCCGCCUCCUGGGAUCAAGUGAUUCUCGUGCCUCAGCCUCCUGAGUAGCCGGGACUACAGUUGUCCCUUGGUGUGGGAUUGCUUCCAGUACCUCUGUGUGUAACAAAAGCUGCACCAUUCAAGUCCCACAGUUGCCCUGCGAAACCUCUGUAUAUGAAAAGUUGGCCCUCCAUGUACAUGGGUUUCCCAUCCUGUGAGUACUGUAUUUUUGAUCCUCAUUUGGUUGGAAAAAAUCUGCAUAUAAGUGGACCUGUGCAGUUCAAACCCGUGUUGUUCAAGGGUCAGCUGUAUAUUUACAGUUGUUAUAUUGUCUUGAUAAAUUGAUCCUCUGUCAUUAUGUAAUGAUGUUCUUUGUCUUGUUUUACAGUUUUUACUUAGUCUGUUUUAAGUAUAGCUACCCCUGCUCUCUUUGGUUUCCAUUUGCCUGAAAUGUCUUUUUCUAGCCUUUCACUUUCAUUCUAUGUGUGUUCUUAAAUGUGAAGUUAAUCUUCAUAGGCCACAUAUAGUUGGGUCUGUUUUUAAAUUUUUGAUAGUAUCCAACCUAAUGGGUGUGAGGUGAUAAUUCUUUGUGGUUUUGAUUUGCAUUUCUCUAAUGAUUAGUGAUGUUGAGCAUCUUUACAUAUGAUUGUUGGCCAUUUGUGUCCCUUCUUUGGAGACUAUUCAAAGUCCUUUACCCAUUUUAAAAAUGAAGGCAUUUGCCCUUUGUUGUUGAGUUGUAGGAAUUUUAAAAAUAUAUUCUGGAUAGUAAAUCCUUUUCAGAUAUAAGAUUUGCAAAUGUUUUUUCCCAUUCUGUGGGUUGUCUUUUCACUCUUUUUCUUUUUCUUUUUUUUUUUUUUUUUUUUU
rnacentral:lncRNA from 1 species